UACGGAGGGUGCGAGCGUUGUCCGGAAUCAUUGGGCGUAAAGGGCGCGUAGGCGGGAUGGCAAGUCGGUCGUGAAAUCCUUCGGCCCAACCGAAGAACGUCGGCCGAUACUGCCGUUCUUGAGGGAUGCAGAGGAGACUGGAAUUCCCGGUGUAGCGGUGAAAUGUGUAGAGAUCGGGAGGAACACCGGUGGCGAAGGCGGGUCUCUGGGCAUCUCCUGACGCUGAGGCGCGAAAGCGUGGGGAGCAAACGGG
rnacentral:rRNA from 1 species